UGACAUACAAUAUUUAACUUCGUCCUAUAUUUUUCAUUUUUUUUUCAAGUGGGUCUCACUCAAGCUUUGUAGUAGCAGGCAAAUUUCGUGUAUUUAUUUGUUAUUGCUUCAUUUAGUUUUAUUUUUUUUCAUCGGAUUUCACUGAAUUUUGCUAUGUUGAAAACGAAAAAUUUCAUUUUUUUAAAAUUUAUUUUUACGUGCAUUUAACUAAUCGAUGCUAACAAUUUGAGCAAUUGAUAUUUACAAGAUUC
rnacentral:lncRNA from 1 species